AUGAACGCUGGCGGCGUGCCUCACACAUGCAAGUCGAACGGAGUCCAGCCUUUAAGACCUUCGGGUCAAAGAGGGGAAGACUGAGUGGCGGACGGGUGAGUAACACGUGGGCAACCUGGCUCAUAGAGGGGGAUAACAGAGAGAAAUUUCUGCUAAUACCGCAUAAGCACACACUGCCGCAUGGCAGAGGGUGAAAAGAGAAUCGCUAUGAGAUGGACCCGCGUCUGAUUAGCCAGUUGGCAGGGUAAGAGCCUACCAAAGCGACGAUCAGUAGCCGAUCUGAGAGGAUGAACGGCCACAUUGGGACUGAGACACGGCCCAAACUCCUACGGGAGGCAGCAGUGGGGGAUAUUGCACAAUGGGGGGAACCCUGAUGCAGCGACGCCGCGUGAGUGAAGAAGUAUUUCGGUAUGUAAAGCUCUAUCAGCAGGGAAGAUAAUGACAGUACCUGAAGAAGAAGCCCCGGCUAACUACGUG
rnacentral:rRNA from 1 species